rnacentral:rRNA from 1 species
CCUACGGGAGGCAGCAGUAGGGAAUAUUGCUCAAUGGGCGAAACCCUGAUGCAGCAACGCCGCGUGGAGGAUGAAGGUUUUAGGAUUGUAAACUCCUUUUGUGAGAGAAGAUAAUGACGGUAUCUCACGAUUAAGCACCGGCUAACUCCGUGCCAGCAGCCGCGGUAAUACGGAGGGUGCAAGCGUUAGUCGGAAUCACUGGGCGUAAAGAGUGCGCAGGCGGGGUUGUAAGUCAGAUGUGAAAUCCUGUAGCUUAACUACAGAACUGCAUUUGAAACUAUGAGUCUAGAGUGUGGGAGAGGUAAGAGGAAUUCUUGGUGUAGGGGUGAAAUGCGUAGAUAUCAAGAGGAAUACUCAUUGCGAAGGCGACCUACUGGAACAUUACUGACGCUGAUGCACGAAAGCGUGGGGAGCAAACAGGAUUAGAUACCCGUGUAGUC